rnacentral:rRNA from 1 species
AUACGGAGGAUCCGAGCGUUAUCCGGAUUCAUUGGGUUUAAAGGGUGCGCAGGCGGGAGAUUAAGUCGGCGGUGAAAUUUUUCAGCUCAACUGUAAAAGUGCCUUCGAAACCGGGUUCCUUUAGGGUAGAAGAAGUAGGGGGCAUUUGUGGGGUAGCGGUGGAAUGCAUAGAUAUCACGAGGAACUCCGAUUGCGCAGGCAGCUUACUAAACUACUACUGACGCUCAGGCACGAAGGCGUGGGGAUCAAACAGGAUUAGAUACCCUGGUAGUCCACGCAGUAAACGAUGAUUACUAGCUGUUUGCGAUACAAUGUAAGCGGCUGAGCGAAAGCGUUAAGUAAUCCACCUGGGGAGUACGUUCGCAAGAAUGAAACUCAAAUGAAUUGGCGGGG